UUUAAAGGCUGAUAAUAUUAAUGCAGAUAAGAAGCACUAGGUCAGCAAGGAAGUUGGAAAACUCACACAUUUGGUUCAUAUUGUUGUUAUUAUUUGGGCAGAGCUGUUUACCUAGAAGCAGCUUUUCUCUAGUAUGUGGAAGGGAUGUAGUGAUGAGGAGUGCUUGGUCUGUUAAAUGUUUGCCUGACACACAGUUGUUCAAGGCAUAGAACAUCUGCCAGGAAAAGGUGAUGCUAAGGAGGAGAAACCAAAAGCUGUGAGCAAAAAACCUAAGGCAAAAUCUAGCGAUGUUAAGUUUUGGAUGCCAAAUGAAGGACUCCCAUCUGUUUGCCUUG